rnacentral:rRNA from 1 species
CUAGCUGUAAACGAUGGAUACUAGGCGUUGAGAGUAUCGACCCUCUCAGUGUCGUAGCUAACGCGUUAAGUACCCCGCCUGGGGAGUACGCGCGCAAGCGUGAAACUCAAAGGAAUUGACGGGGGCCCGCACAAGCGGUGGGGUAUGUGGUUUAAUUCGAUGCAACGCGAAGAACCUUACCAGGGCUUGACAUGUCCGGAACCCUGCCCAAAGGCGGGGGUGCCUACGGGAACCGGAACACAGGUGGUGC